rfam:Chelonia mydas contig252776, whole genome shotgun sequence.
CUAAAGGCUCUUUUAAGUGCCAUCACCAUUUUCUGAAGUGGAGUU